rnacentral:rRNA from 1 species
GGAAUAUUGCACAAUGGGGGGAACCCUGAUGCAGCGACGCCGCGUGGGCGAAGGAGCACCUCGGUGCGUAAAGCCCUAUCGGCAGGGAAGAAAGGCGGGCGGGGCCCGUCUGGACGGUACCUGACUAAGAAGCCCCGGCUAACUACGUGCAAGCAGCCGCGGUAAUACGUAGGGGGCAAGCGUUAUCCGGAUUCACUGGGUGUAAAGGGAGCGUAGACGGCGACGCAAGUCUGGAGUGAAAGCCCGGGGCCCAACCCCGGGACUGCUCUGGAAACUGCGGCGCUGGAGUACGGGAGGGGCAGGCGGAAUUCCUGGUGUAGCGGUGAAAUGCGUAGAUAUCAGGAGGAACACCGGCGGCGAAGGCGGCCUGCUGGACCGUGACUGACGUUGAGGCUCGAGAGCGUGGGGAGCAAAC